CAUGCGACCUGACGGACAGGCAUCGCAAAACGGACUGGCUCAACUCAUUUGGUUUAUUACUGAAAAAAUAACAGUUAAAGAUAUUGUCGGAAUUGCCAUAAACUGCGACCAGCACUGACGAACAGAGGACGGUCUUCUUGCGGAACUAAGAACGUGGACCUAACCGAUAGUGGCCGUACCAAGGACUUGAAGGAAAACCGGUGCCAGUGGCCGGAAGCAGUCCGUCGGAUGGGAUACUGCUGAAGCGAUCAGCAGCAGCAGCAGCGUCAACAUUACAAAUGCAGCAGUAGUCUCCACCGGAGAACCAGGCCGAGUAGAAACCCAUCCGGUCCGUGCUGGCUGCGAACCGCGGCGAAAUCGCUACCGUGUCUUCCUAGUGUGUAACGAGCUGGGCAUGCCGUCGGUGGCCAUCUACUCCGAGCAGAAUCGCCAUCACAUGCACCGACAGAAGGCCGACGAGUCGUACAUCGAUGGCAAGGGCCUAGCCCCGGUCGAGGUCUGCAACACAUUCCAGAAAUUAUCCGGGUGUGCAAGGAGAACGACGUCGACGACAUGCACCCCGGUUAAGGGUCAUAUCGGUCCAGCACCUAAGGUUGUCCAGCAGAUGGGAGACAAAGUGGCCGCCCGUAAGGCUGCCAUUGAAGCAGGCGUUCUAAUCGUACCGGAUACGGACGGUCCCGUGACCAUCAAGGUGGAAGUGUUGGUUUUUUGCAAGAAGCACGGAUUUCCCGUGAUCUUCAAGGCAGCGUUAAGUGGAAGUAGCCGUGGAAAGGAAAGUGUAAAAGAGGUCGGUAGAGGUCGGGGACAACUUCGAGCGAGCGAGUUCGGAGGCGAAGGCUUCCGUCGGUAAUGGUGCCAUGCUUAUUGAAAGGUUCAUCGAACGACCUAGGCAUAUUGAGUUGCAGCUGCUGGAUGACAAAGCUGGCAACGUGGAUCAUCUGUACGAACGUGAUGGCCCGGUUGAGCGGCGGCACCAGAAGUUGGUGGAAAUUGCACCUGCACCAAAACUGGCCCGCGAGGUCCGUGGAAAAAAAAACGAAUACGCUGUCAAGUUGGGCAGACACGUCAGAUAUGAAAACGCCGGAAUCUUGGCGGUCCUUUGAGACGGCAACUUCUACUCAUCAAAGUGAACGCCCGUCUGCAAGUGGAGCACCGGAAUUGAUUUCGUUUAGUUGGGACUAAAUCUAAAAUCCGUGUCGCCGAGGGAAUCACGCUGCCAGAGUUGAGAUACACUCAUGAUAUCAUUAUAACUCCCCAACAGCAGCAACCGCUAAUACAGCCUAAUUACUAAGAACAACAAAUGGCAAAAAGUUGAUCGCAACGAUUUUUUUAAGUUAGCAAAAAUACAACAAAAUACUGUUAGGUACAUAACCCAUGCACACUAUCUGUAACAUAUUCGUAAAACAGCUUAAAACUACUCUUCAGUUCAAUUUGUUUUCAUUCAUCUUGUUAUCAUCGAUGGCAAAAAAAAACGAAACUAUUGGCACUACGCCCCCCGGGGCAUGGCCUUCCUCUAACGUGGGAUUUCCGCUCGAGACAGGAGAAACCGGGACCGACGUUUUACUUCACCAUCCGAUAGAAGCUCAGUGGAUAAGGCGGGAAUCGAACCCGCGUCUCAUAGCAUCAUCGGGAUCGGCAGCCGAAGCCGCUACCCCUGCGCCACGAGACCCAUCAUCGAUGGCAACUAGUUUUAAUUCAUAAAAAGUACUUCUCGGUUUGUAUUUAAGACAUUUAAGACCAAAUUCAUUUGGAUUCCCGAUCGUAUAGAACUUCAAUCUCCCCCCCCCCCCCUUCU